rfam:Yokenella regensburgei ATCC 43003 genomic scaffold Scfld157, whole genome shotgun sequence.
CUAAGAAAAAAACACUCUAGCCCUUGCGCCUAAGUCACACGAUAUGGCGCUCCGGCCGUGGCAACAGCCACCAGGGUACAGGAAGAAAUAACUGUGCCUCCCGUAUUUGGAAAGGUGUACAUGGCUCAAUUAA